rnacentral:rRNA from 1 species
UGAAAUAGAACCUGAAACCUUAUGCCUACAAGCAGAUAGAGUCUUAAGAGAGAUGAUAUCGUACUUUUUGUAGAACGGGCCAGCGAGUUAUGGUGUGCGGCAAGGUUAAGUAAUGAAGUUACGGAGCCGUAGGGAAACCGAGUCUGAAUAGGGCGAGAUAGUCGUAUGCCAUAGACCCGAAACCAGGUGAUCUAUCCAUGAGCAGGUUGAAGUGAAAGUAAAAUUUCAUGGAGGACCGAACCGGGUAGCGUUUAAAAGCUAUCGGAUGACUUGUGGAUAGGGGUGAAAAGCCAAUCGAACUUGGAGAUAGCUGGUUCUCCUCGAAAUAGCUUUAGGGCUAGCCUCAAUUUAGUUUACAGGGGGUAGAGCACUGAAUACCGUAGGGGUGUUAGACAUUACCGAAAGUUAUCAAACUGCGAAUACCUGAUAAAUGAUGAUUGGGAGUCAGACUAUGUGGGAUAAGCUUCAUAGUCAAAAGGGAAAGAGCCCAGACCACCAGCUAAGGUCCCUAAAUAUAGAUUAAGUGGUAAAGGAUGUUUUACUACUUAGACAACCAGGAUGUUGGCUUAGAAGCAGCCAUACAUUUAAAGAGUGCGUAAUAGCUCACUGGUCAAGUGGUAGAGCGCCGAAAAUGAACGGGGCUAAAAUCUAAUACCGAAGCUGUGGACUAAUGAAAAUUAGUGGUAGAGGAGCAUUGUGUAAGGGGCGAAGCUAAGUUGUAAGACGAAGUGGACUUUACAGAAGAGAGAAUGCUGGCAUGAGUAGCGAAAAGGAGGGUGAGAAUCCCUCCCGUCGAAAGCCUAAGGAUUCCUGAGGAAGGCUCGUCCUCUCAGGGUAAGUCGGGACCUAAGCCCAGGCUGAAAAGCGUAAGCGAUGGACAACAGGUUGAGAUUCCUGUACUAUCUUUGAAUGUUUGAGAGAUGUACUGACGCAGGAGGAUAUGUUGAGCGUGUGAAUGGUAGAGCACGUCUAAGCAAGUAGGUAGAGAAUAGAGGCAAAUCCCUAUUUUUAAUAUCGAGAUGCGAUGGGGAGCGAAAAAUAAGUAGUGAAGCAACAGAUUCCAAACUGCCAAGAAAAGGUACUAUUGAGUGAGAAGAUACCCGUACCAAAACCGACACAGGUAGGCAAGGAGAGAAUCCUAAGACGCGCGGAAGAACCUUUGUUAAGGAACUCGGCAAAAUGACCCCGUAACUUCGGGAGAAGGGGUACCAUUAGAUGUGAGAUACUUUCGUAUGGAGCAUAGAGUGGUCGCAGAGAAUAGGCCCAAGCAACUGUUUACCAAAAACACAAGUCUCUGCUAAAUCGAAAGAUGAAGUAUAGGGGCUGACACCUGCCCGGUGCUGGAAGGUUAAGGGGAAAUGUUAGAGCAAUCGAAGCAUAGAACUUAAGCCCCAGUAAACGGCGGCCGUAACUAUAACGGUCCUAAGGUAGCGAAAUUCCUUGUCGGGUAAGUUCCGACCCGCACGAA